rnacentral:sRNA from 1 species
GCACCCAGGGAUGAGAGAGUCUGCACGUACACAAGCAAUGCCAUGUAGCCCUGCCCCCCAAGUUAUCCCUGAUUGGUGAAUGAAGAUGCUCUACAGCCUAUAGCUGGGCAGAAGAGAGAGGGGCAGGGUUUGGGUUCCUGGCCUUGGAGUCUGGGGAAGAGACUCAGAGAUAAGGGAGAAGGUAGAGAGAGGAGAAGAUACUGUCCGGUAGUUCCAGGGGAUCCAACACACCCUGUUCUGGCUUCGAUGGUCACCAGGCAUUCGUGUGAGACACAUCCAUACUGCAGGAGACAGAGGGACAUAAAACAAAUGCAAAUAACCUUUCAAAAAUAGUAACUGGGGCCGGGGGGGGGGUGGAUUGGCUGGGCAUGUGGGAUAUGUGGCCCAUGGAACCGAGUGAGGCCCGCCCGCUGCUUGUUUUUGCUCUUUUUGGUAUCGGGAAUAGGAAUGAGGUCCCGGCCCUUGAAGAUCAGGAGCAAACCGUGGUAUGGAGGAACGUUCGGCUGUCAUCCUGUAAAAUUAGAGACACAGUGUCACAUUCCAUAUCUGAUUAGCUACCAUCACUGGUGUUAGUGUCCCUGGGCUGGAUCUCAACGCGAGCUGCUCCGCUUGUGACUGUCAAUCACUUGAGCAAAUAGGAUGACACUUGCUCUCUCCCCUCAACAACUUGAAUGUGGUGUCUGCUCAAAUCAUCUGCCUCCUCCAGCCCCGAGUCUGCUGUGACAUCUGAGAGCCGCCGGAUCCCGACUCCCCGGCUCACCUGAUUAACUUCCCUGAGCCAAGUUGCUAGCCAAAGGGGAGAAAACGGAGCAUCUGUGUCUGCCAAUCAGGAACUGGAGAGACUGCUCCGUGGUAAAGAGCCCGGGAUGCUCUGGCAGAGGACCCACACGGUAUCACAUAACCCUCUGUAACUCCAGCCUCAGAGGAUCUGACGCCCUCUUCUGGCCUCCUCGGGCACUGCACGCACGUGGUGCCCAGAUACGAGCAGGCCAAACACCCAUACUUGUAAAUUAAGAAUAAAUGAGUAAGAUAUUUAAGACCAUCA